rnacentral:rRNA from 1 species
AUCUACAGCCAUGCCACCCUGAACAAGCCCUAUGUCUGAUCUCAGAAGCUAAGCAGGGUCGGGCCUGGCUAGUACUUGAAUGGGAGACCACCUAAGAAGACCAGGUGCUGUAAGCA